AUAUAGACAUAGGCAAUGUAGGGAUACAGAAGAAAACGGGAGUAGGGACAUUUAACAUCCUGUUUGUCAGACCCCAAAUUAACUAUGUACAUCAUCAGAUCUAGUCAUGCAGACAUCCAGUACAGUUAAACAAUUUACCAUUAUAUUCAUAUAUGUUAAUUCAGUUCCUGCAUACGGAAGAUAUCUUGUGUGCCCCUUUGAUUACAUUUAUACGUGUAGUGGUGGUGGUGACAACAAAGUUGCCCGGUAAGUCUGCUCUUGCAAAUAGGGAGUUUGGGGUACUGGUUGUAUGCAAGAGAAGAGAACAAAAAAAAAGAGGGGGAGAAUAAACUAUUUGGGGAAGGGGGUGGAGGAAAAAAAAAAAACAAGGGGGAGGAGGGAAGUGUGGUCGGUUUGCUCGCAGAGUUUGCGGUCAAUUGGCUAGAUUGCGAUGCGCUUAUAUUCAAUUAUAAGGUUAUAUUCAAUUAUGAAUUAUGAAGUUGUGGGACUGUUUGUAUGGUGCGUAGUCUUCAACUCCCAUUGAUU